rnacentral:rRNA from 1 species
UACGUAGGGUGCAAGCGUUAAUCGGAAUUACUGGGCGUAAAGCGUGCGCAGGCGGUUAUGUAAGACAGAUGUGAAAUCCCCGGGCUACAACCUGGGAACUGCAUUUGUGACUGCAUAGCUGGAGUACGGUAGAGGGGGAUGGAAUUCCGCGUGUAGCAGUGAAAUGCGUAGAUAUGCGGAGGAACACCGAUGGCGAAGGCAAUCCCCUGGACCCUGUACUGACGCUCAUGCACGAAAGGCGUGGGGAGCAAACAGG